rnacentral:rRNA from 1 species
GACGAACGCGGCGGCGUGCCUAAUACAUGCAAGUAGAACGCUGAAGGAGGAGCUUGCUUCUCUGGAUGAGUUGCGAACGGGUGAGUAACGCGUAGGUAACCUGCCUGGUAGCGGGGGAUAACUAUCGGAAACGAUAGCUAAUACCGCAUAAGAGUAGAUGUUGCAUGACAUUUGCUUAAAAGGUGCAAUUGCAUCACUACCAGAUGGACCUGCGUUGUAUUAGCUAGUUGGUGGGGUAACGGCUCACCAAGGCGACGAUACAUAGCCGACCUGAGAGGGUGAUCGGCCACACUGGGACUGAGACACGGCCCAGACUCCUACGGGAGGCAGCAGUAGGGAAUCUUCGGCAAUGGACGGAAGUCUGACCGAGCAACGCCGCGUGAGUGAAGAAGGUUUUCGGAUCGUAAAGCUCUGUUGUAAGAGAAGAACGAGUGUGAGAGUGGAAAGUUCACACUGUGACGUAUCUACCAGAA